AGUUGAAUAUAGUGAAGAGAUAGUAAAUACGAAAAAAAGCUACAUAGUUGACGAUACAGAAGAUAAUCAAACCAGGUAAUAAAACAAUUCACUCUAUGGACCCUAUGGGAGAACAGACAAAUUCCAUCAAUAAAGAAGAAGUGAAAUGGAAUUGUUACUUACAUCAAAGAUAUGGUGUUUCAG
rnacentral:lncRNA from 1 species